GACGAACGCUGGCGGCACGCUUAACACAUGCAAGUCGAACGAGAGAAGAGAAGCUUGCUUUUCUGAUCUAGUGGCGGACGGGUGAGUAACACGUGAGCAAUCUGCCUUUCAGAGGGGGAUACCGAUUGGAAACGAUCGUUAAUACCGCAUAACAUAAUUGAACCGCAUGAUUUGAUUAUCAAAGAUUUAUCGCUGAAAGAUGAGCUCGCGUCUGAUUAGCUAGUUGGUAAGGUAACGGCUUACCAAGGCGACGAUCAGUAGCCGGACUGAGAGGUUGAUCGGCCACAUUGGGACUGAGACACGGCCCAGACUCCUACGGGAGGCAGCAGUGGGGAAUAUUGCACAAUGGAGGAAACUCUGAUGCAGCGAUGCCGCGUGAGGGAAGAAGGUUUUAGGAUUGUAAACCUCUGUCUUCAGGGACGAAAAAAGACGGUACCUGAGGAGGAAGCUCCGGCUAACUACGUGCCAGCAGCCGCGGUAAUACGUAGGGAGCGAGCGUUGUCCGGAAUUACUGGGUGUAAAGGGAGCGUAGGCGGGAUCGCAAGUCAGAUGUGAAAACUAUGGGCUUAACCCAUAAACUGCAUUUGAAACUGUGGUUCUUGAGUGAAGUAGAGGUAAGCGGAAUUCCUAGUGUAGCGGUGAAAUGCGUAGAUAUUAGGAGGAACAUCAGUGGCGAAGGCGGCUUACUGGGCUUUAACUGACGCUGAGGCUCGAAAGCGUGGGGAGCAAACAGGAUUAGAUACCCUGGUAGUCCACGCCGUAAACGAUGAUUACUAGGUGUGGGGGGACUGACCCCUUCCGUGCCGCAGCAAACGCAAUAAGUAAUCCACCUGGGGAGUACGACCGCAAGGUUGAAACUCAAAGGAAUUGACGGGGGCCCGCACAAGCAGUGGAGUAUGUGGAUUAAUUCGAAGCAACGCGAAGAACCUUACCAGGUCUUGGCAUCGUAUGCAUAGCUCAGAGAUGAGUGAAAUCUCUUCGGAGACAUAUAGACAGGUGGUGCAUGGUUGUCGUCAGCUCGUGUCGUGAGAUGUUGGGUUAAGUCCCGCAACGAGCGCAACCCUUACUGUUAGUUGCUACGCAAGAGCACUCUAGCAGGACUGCCGUUGACAAAACGGAGGAAGGUGGGGAUGACGUCAAAUCAUCAUGCCCCUUAUGACCUGGGCCUCACACGUACUACAAUGGCUGUCAACAGAGGGAUGCAAAGCCGCGAGGUGGAGCGAACCCCUAAAAGCAGUCUUAGUUCGGAUUGUAGGCUGCAACCCGCCUACAUGAAGUCGGAAAUUGCUAGUAAUCGCAGAUCAGCAUGCUGCGGUGAAAUACGUUCCCGGGCCU
rnacentral:rRNA from 1 species